UCCAGCAGUAGUCAGCUGUGCAGGCAUUUGUGGUGCCUGUUAUGGUGUUACACUGCUGGGACAGUGACCUGCCAUUGCUCUGGUUUGACUCUAAGGGGUGCUGUUCUAGCAGCCUUCAGAGUUCAGGCCAAGGCAGAGAGCCCUCUGAGCUAGGACUGAGUCUGCUUUAUUGUGGCUUAGCCCUUGACGGGAGGCCUUACAGC